rnacentral:tRNA from 1 species
GGAAGCGGAUGGGGUCCGGCGGCCCCCGCGGUCUUCAAAACCGUUGGCCGCGAUUCAUCGCGGCGGCAGGAUCGACACCUGCCCCUUCC